rnacentral:rRNA from 1 species
GGAAUCUGGAGACAGGUGCUGCAUGGCUGUCGUCAGCUCGUGUCGUGAGAUGUUGGGUUAAGUCCCGCAACGAGCGCAACCCUUGCCUUUAGUUGCCAGCAGUUCGGCUGGGCACUCUAAAGGGGACUGCCGGUGUUAAACCGGAGGAAGGUGGGGAUGACGUCAAGUCCUCAUGGCCUUUAUGACCAGGGCUACACACGUACUACAAUGGCCGAUACAAAGGGCAGCGACACUGCGAGGUGAAGCCAAUCCCGUAAAAUCGGUCUCAGUCCGGAUUGGAGUCUGCAACUCGACUCCAUGAAGUUGGAAUCGCUAGUAAUCGUGGAUCAGCAUGCCACGGUGAAUACGUUCCCGGGCCUU